GCCUGGGUGGCUCAGUCGGUUGAGUGUCUGACUUCGGCUCAGGUCAUGAUCUUGCGGUCCGUGGGUUCAAGCCCCGCGUCGGGCU
rnacentral:tRNA from 1 species